UAAUCUGUUUGGGGUAAAUCCUCAUCUAGUUGUGAUAGAUUCACACCUAACUACUCAGAAUUAUCUGUUAUCUCAAGACUGAUUGCGUCCAUUACUCAUGUUGAAUUCAAGAUGUUUUUUUUUAUAUAAACAUUGA
rfam:Populus trichocarpa isolate Nisqually-1 chromosome 19, whole genome shotgun sequence.